GACGAACCGUGCGAACGUUGUUCGGAAUCACUGGGCGUAAAGGGCGCGUAGGCGGCCGUGUAAGUCACUUGUGAAAUCCCGGGGCUCAACUCCGGGGCUGCAGGUGAGACUGCAUGGCUAGAGCUUGGUAGAGGCGAGUGGAAUUCCCGGUGUAGCGGUGGAAUGCGUAGAUAUCGGGAAGAACACCGGUGGCGAAGGCGGCUCGCUGGGCCAAUGCUGACGCUGAGGCGCGAAAGCGUGGGGAGCAAACAGG
rnacentral:rRNA from 1 species